CUCUUCCCCAGCCACUGGUGCGAGCGAAGCAAAUUGAAGGCUUCCCUUCCACCAAACCUAUAAAAUCUUCCCUCGCCUUCUCACUCUGGCGACGAGGGCGAUGAGUGGUGGCGGGUUAUUGCGCACCGCCUGCCAUCCUCCUCUCUCCGGUUUUCUAUCCCUCCGUUUCUUCCACCCUCGCCGCCGCCGCCGCCUUUCCGCUCUCUGCGGAAGACACCGUAACCUAGGCCUUGCUUCUUCUUUACCUUCCCUAGGGUUCCGAUUGGAUCGGUAUGGCUUCAGUGAACGGAGCUGCUACGUUCACAGCCUCGUCGAGUCCGUCAUGGAGGAAUUGGCCGUCAUCCGCGCCACCCGGCGGAUUCGGGCGACCGCCAAAGUGGGAUUACCAAGCAGUAAAGAAUUAUUUGAUGCUAAAUUGGAAAAGAAAACCUUGCAGAAAGGAUUGUUGCUUGAGUUUAGGAAAGAUUCUCAAAAGACAUUGCUAGCAGUUGUCCAAAAGCCUGAUGGGAAGAAAAAUUGGAUGGUUUGCGAUCAGAAUGGAGUGAUUUGCUCAAUAAAGCCCCAACAAGUCACAUACGUGGUACCUGGUAUUGAAGACUUUGACCACACAGAUAUCUCUGAAUUUGUUCAGAAAGCUCAGGGUCUCUUAGAUCCAUCCAUUCUGGAGUGUGCUUGGAUAGAGCUUUCAGAAAAUAAAAGGACAGUGACAGCUGAGGAAUUAGCUGAGAUUAUAUAUGGCAGCCAGGAAUCUCUUGAAAGCUACUGUUCCCAUCUCUUGUUGUCAAGAGAUGACAUAUAUUUUAAUGUGGUUGAGAGCAAGGGAUAUUGUUCUCUAUAUGAACCACGUCCUAGCAUUCAGGUGGAGGAACUCUUAAAAAGGAAGCUUGUCAAAGAGUCUUCAGAGAAGGAACUUGAAGAGUUUGUGCACUUACUAUUGUCUGCAAAAGCUAUGCCUUCACGGUCUAAACCUUCCAAAAGCUCAUGGAUGACAGAAGAUAAAGUUAAAAGGAGAAUUGAAUCUCUUGAGGCUUAUGCUUUAGAUGCGUGCAAAAAUGAUGAACAACGAAAAACUGCUGGAAGUAUACUCAAGGCAAUGGGAUUAAUGAAGACAUCAUCUGCUGCAGUUAACCUCCUCAUAGAUAUUGGAUACUUCCCUGUGCAUGUCAAUCUUGACCUCUUUAAGUUCAAUAUCCACACUGAAUACAGCGAAGAAGUUCUGUCAGCCGCCGAAAACCUUCUAGCUGUUUCCAAUGAUCUUGAUGAGGGAAACAGGAAAGAUCUUACAUUUUUGAAAGUGUAUGCCAUUGACGUGGAUGAUGCUGAUGAGCUCGAUGAUGCAUUAAGCGCUACAAGGCUACCAGAUGGAAGGAUAAAACUCUGGAUCCAUGUUGCUGAUCCCACUUGUUUGGUUGCACCUCACAGCAUACUUGACCGGGAAGCAAUGAGGAGAGGAACCUCCAUAUUCUUGCCUACUGCUACCUAUCCAAUGUUCCCAGAGAAGCUUGCAAUGGAGGGUAUGAGCUUGCAGCAAGGAAAACUAUGCAGGGCUGUCAGUGUAUCUGUAACAUUAUCCCAAGAUGGAAGCAUUGCAGAUCUUGCAAUAGAGAACUCAAUCAUUAGACCUACCUAUAUGUUGACAUAUGAGAACGCAACCGAGUUACUUCAUCUGAAUCUAGAAGAGGAGGGUGAGCUCAGGAUUCUUUCAGAGGCUGCCUUGCUCAGGUUUCAGUGGCGUUGUGACCAGGGUGCGAUAGACACAGCGACAAUAGACCCACGAAUCAAGGUGGCAAAGCCUGAUGAUCCUGAACCAUCUAUAACUCUGUAUGUUGAAGAUCAAUCAAAUCCCGCUAUGCGUCUUGUAUCCGAGAUGAUGAUACUCUGUGGGGAAGUUAUAGCCACAUUUGGUUCCUGCAACAACAUUUCGUUGCCUUACAGAGGCCAGCCCCAAUCAAACAUCUCGGCAUCAGCAUUUUCUCAUCUCCCUGAAGGACCUGCUAGAAGUGCUGCUUACCUAAAAAUUAUGCGUGCCGCAGAAAUGAACUUUAGGAAACCUAUACGCCAUGGAGUAUUGGGACUCCCUGGUUAUGUGCAGUUUACAUCUCCAAUCCGUAGAUAUAUUGAUCUUCUAGCUCACUAUCAGGUGAAGGCUUUUAUUAGAGGAGAAUCUCUACCAUUUUCAGCUGGUGAAUUGGAGGGAAUGGCAUGUCUUGUUAACAUGCAUGUAAGAGUAGCUAAGAGACUUCAAAGUAACAGCUUAAGAUAUUGGUUACUGGAGUAUUUGAGACGACAAGAAAGAGAAAGGAAGUUUUCUGCAAUGAUCCUUAGGCUCAUUAAAGAUCGGACAGCAGCCUUGCUUUUGAUGGAGGUCGGGGUUCAGGCUAUCGCGAUUGUUUCAGACGGGAAAAAGGUUGGUGAUGAGAUAAAAGUUACCAUAGAUGAAGCUCAUCCACGUGAUGAUGUGCUUUCAGUAAGGGAAGUUUAAAGAGGUAAGUCAGGUCCUGCACUGCCAUUUGCCCAUUGACAGACAUACUGAUAUAGGAGAUUCAAAAUUUGAUGUACUUGUUUUGACCAACCAGCAUCGCUGAGCGAUCAAACAGAAGCACCCCCAUGACAAACCUGCAUCUACUCAGUGACAGAUAUGCUUUGCUUACAGAAGGAUCCCCGCUAUAUGAUCGAUACAGUAUUAGUUUAUGGAUUCUAUGUUGUCUUGUACCGCUGCUCGUUUGACCCAAAAUGUGACAACACUGCGUGUGUCGGACACGAGUGGGCACCCGGCAACCAGAGGAGUCCCUCGUUUCGAGGGAAGUUUUGCAUGUGGGUCGGGACAUCUGUACCGUGCUUGGAGAAAGUUUUAUGUAACGCGUGUUCAUUUUGGCCUAUGUAUACUUGUAUAUUUAUAUAUCUGUGAUGAUUAAACACAAGAGUUUGCCUC